UACGUAGGCAGCAAGCGUUGUUCGGAGUUACUGGGCGUAAAGGGUGCGUAGGCGGUCCCUUAAGUUCGGUGUGAAAUCUCCCGGCUCAACUGGGAGGGUGCGCCGGAAACUGAGGGACUCGAAUGCGGGAGGGGAGAGCGGAAUUCCUGGUGUAGCGGUGAAAUGCGUAGAUAUCAGGAGGAACACCGGUGGUGCAGACGGCUCUCUGGACCGUAACUGACGCUGAGGCACGAAAGCGUGGGUAGCAAACAGG
rnacentral:rRNA from 1 species